GAUGAAGAACGCAGCGAAAUGCGAUAAGUAAUGUGAAUUGCAGAAUUCAGUGAAUCAUCGAAUCUUUGAACGCACAUUGCGCCCGCCAGUAUUCUGGCGGGCAUGCCUGUUCGAGCGUCAUUUCAACCAUCAAGCCCCCGGCUUGUGUUGGGGACCUGCGGCUGCCGCAGGCCCUGAAAAGCAGUGGCGGGCUCGCUGUCACACCGAGCGUAGUAGCAUACAUCUCGCUCUGGGCGUGCUGCGGGUUCCGGCCGUUAAACCACCUUCAUAACCCAAGGUUGACCUCGGACCAGGUAGGAAGACCCGCUGAACUUAAGCAUAUCAAUAAGCGGAGGA
rnacentral:misc_RNA from 1 species